rnacentral:rRNA from 1 species
GGGGGAGCAAGCGUUGUUCGGAUUUACUGGGCGUAAAGGGCGCGUAGGCGGCCACCGCAAGUCGACUGUGAAAUCUCCGGGCUUAACUCGGAAAGGUCAGCCGAUACUGCGGGGCUAGAGUGCAGAAGGGGCAACUGGAAUUCUCGGUGUAGCGGUGAAAUGCGUAGAUAUCGAGAGGAACACCUGCGGCGAAGGCGGGUUGCUGGGCUGACACUGACGCUGAUUGUGCGAAAGCUAGGGGAGCGAACGGG